rnacentral:tRNA from 1 species
UGCAUCUGCCGGGAAUCGAACCCGGGCCGCCCGCGUGGCAGGCGCGCAUUCUACCACUGAACCAUC